GAUGAACGCUGGCGGCGUGCCUAAUACAUGCAAGUCGAGCGAACAGAUGAGGAGCUUGCUCCUCUGACGUUAGCGGCGGACGGGUGAGUAACACGUGGAUAACCUACCUAUAAGACUGGGAUAACUUCGGGAAACCGGAGCUAAUACCGGAUAAUAUAUUGAACCGCAUGGUUCAAUAGUGAAAGACGGUUUUGCUGUCACUUAUAGAUGGAUCCGCUCCGCAUUAGCUAGUUGGUAAGGUAACGGCUUACCAAGGCAACGAUGCGUAGCCGACCUGAGAGGGUGAUCGGCCACACUGGAACUGAGACACGGUCCAGACUCCUACGGGAGGCAGCAGUAGGGAAUCUUACGCAAUGGGCGAAAGCCUGACGGAGCAACGCCGCGUGUGUUGUGAAGGUCUUCGGAUCGUAAAACUCUGUUAUUAGGGAAGAACAAAUGUGUAAGUAACUAUGCACGUCUUGACGGUACCUAAUCAGAAAGCCACGGCUAACUACGUG
rnacentral:rRNA from 1 species